ACUCCUACGGGUGGCAGCAGUGGGGAAUUUUCCGCAAUGGGCGCAAGCCUGACGGAGCAACGCCGCGUGAGGGAUGAAGGCCUUUGGGCUGUAAACCUCUUUUCUCAAGGAAGAAGAUAUGACGGUACUUGAGGAAUAAGCCACGGCUAAUUCCGUGCCAGCAGCCGCGGUAAUACGGGAGUGGCAAGCGUUAUCCGGAAUUAUUGGGCGUAAAGCGUCCGCAGGCGGCCGUUUAAGUCUGUUGUUAAAUAGUGGAGCUCAACUCCAUCACGGCAAUGGAAACUGUUCGGCUUGAGUAUGGUAGGGGCAGAGGGAAUUUCCGGUGUAGCGGUGAAAUGCGUAGAUAUCGGGAAGAACACCAGUGGCAGAAGCGCUCUGCUGGGCCAUUACUGACGCUCAUGGACGAAAGCCAGGGGAGCGAAAGGGAUUAGAUACCCCUGUAGUCCUGGCCGUAAACGAUGAACACUAGAUGUUGGGGGAAUCGACCCCUCCGGUGUCGUAGCUAACGCGUUAAGUGUUCCGCCUGGGGAGUACGCACGCAAGUGUGAAACUCAAAGGAAUUGACGGGGGCCCGCACAAGCGGUGGAGUAUGUGGUUUAAUUCGAUGCAACGCGAAGAACCUUACCAAGGCUUGACAUCCCGCGAAUCUUCAAGAAAUUGGAGAGUGCCUUCGGGAACGCAGUGACAGGUGGUGCAUGGCUGUCGUCAGCUCGUGUCGUGAGAU
rnacentral:rRNA from 1 species